rnacentral:rRNA from 1 species
UACGUAGGUGGCGAGCGUUGUCCGGAUUUACUGGGCGUAAAGAGCGCGCAGGCGGCUGGUCAAGUCCGAUGUGAAAGCUCCCGGCUUAACUGGGAAAUUGCAUCGGAAACUGAUCGGCUGGAAGGUGGGAGAGGGUAGCGGAAUUCCCGGUGUAGUGGUGGAAUGCGUAGAGCUCCGGAGGAACACCAGUGGCGAAGGCGGCCGCCUGGGCCAGUCCUGACGCUGAGCCGCGAAAGCGUGGGGAGCGAUCCGG